AUACUUACCUGGCAAAGGAGACACGUGAUCAAGAAGGCAGUUCACCCAGGGCGAGCUCAGCCAUUGCACUCCAUUCCAUGUGCUGACCCCUCUUGAAUUUCUCAAAUGUGGAAAUCUCGAUUAUAAUUUAUGGUAGUGGGGACUGCGUUGCUCCCCG